AGUCAAAGAAAACCAUACAAAUAUUAUCUGAAAUCGAGCGAAAAACUCAUGAGCCUAUACUGGCUGAAGAGAUCAGGAGAUUUUGGCAACAAUUGCUGGUUAAUGACAUAGAAUUCUCGGCGCUGGGGCUCUGUCGUAUUAAUAGAAAGAUAUUGACAUCGUUUAGCUCAGCGAUUGCUACGUAUCUAGUUAUUUUAAUACAGUUCCAAAAGGCCAGCGGUUAAUGGACAACAUAUUCUAGAAAUAUACCGAAACUUUAAUAAACCACCAACACCAAGUACAAGAUAAAUAGUUCUGCAGAAAACGCCAUCCAUUAAAUGCGUAUGUAAGCGAUGUAAUAGCCCAUUUCCACCGAGCCUUAAUUGCAGUUUGUGCUUCUGGUCAGCAAUGAAUUGUGCAACAAUGUGAAAAUUUUCAAGUAAUAGUUGUAUGAUGGUGUCUUAUCUGCAUAUUUGAACAAGGUAAACUAAAGGGUAAUAGGCUAGGACAUAUUAUAAUGUAAAAAGAAUUUGAUAAAAUAGUUUUAGGCGCAUAAAGAGCCGUAGCUAAACACAAAUUUACUUUUACCAAAUUUACUUUUACCAAUAGGUACUUUUAGUAUAAAGGAGAAGUUUCUACCUCGAACGAAGUAAAUGCUCCCACCACUUGGGAAUAAAAAAGGGCUGGAAACUACAGCAAAAAUACUAAAACUUUAAGAUCAUCCUAUAUUAGAGUAACUCCAGACAAUGGAUUUAAAAUGUUCAGAAGUUCUUUACUGCAGUUAGACUUUUGUCGCAAAUGGGUCAUAUCGUCGGUGAUACUGCAAAACGGUU